rnacentral:lncRNA from 1 species
AAGGGCCACAACAGCAGCUUUAAACCAGCCAUCUUGGCAAAAAAGAAAAGAAAAUUCAGUGCAUUUCAGUUAGAAAGGGCUAAGCAGAUUGAAGUCGGCUGCUGGCUGGGAAUCACAUUUAAAUGCCAUUGUUGACGGCAGGUCAACGAACACACCUGUUCCCGUGGGAAGCUCCUUCACACCGAAUGUGUCAUAGAAUAUGACAUGUUGCAGAAGACAAUCCUCUGUCAGGGCACCCGCAAGGGCUUUUGAUACUUCGUCGCCAUUGGAGGUGAGGACCGAGUUCAUUAUCAGGGUCCGCUGGGCUGCAAAGUGCUGGAGGUAACCGACAGGCUUCAACGUGACAUUGGCCCGUCUAAUUAGAAGUGCGGAAUGCUGCACCGCCGACAUUCUGAGCAAGCUCGCGGUCAAAGGAAAGUCGAUGACUUUGGCUGUCGUCUGUUUGGUCAAAGAGUAUAAGUAUAUUAAGUAAGAAUUACAUGUAUUUGGCACAGUUAAGUGCCAGACACUGUAAUGCCUUUCCGAUUUGCAGCUCCAUGACAGGUACAACUUGCACUGAUGGAUCCAGGAUUCACACAUGCAAGCGCAAGGGCAUCUUUUACUGUCAUUAUUCGAUCUUAAAAUCUAUGCAAUUCCAUGAGUAUAAUGGAUUUGUGUUCAUACGUGUGGUGUCCGUUGCCUCUCGGACAUUUGAUGUCGGGCUUUGCAGAACCAUUGAUCCCUCCCACAGGCGCCUGUUCCUUCACAUAUGGUACUGAAUAAUGGCUCAAUCUUAUAUCAGUCCGUAUUGGAGCUGCUUUCCGAUCGACACAGCAUUUCAGUGUCAAAUCAUUGAUUUCCGCCAUCACUCUACAUCAUGCCGUGGCAUGGAUGAUGGUGGAAGUGCUGUGGUGGUUUUGGUAGCGUUCAGUUUUGGUGUCGGUGGCAUUGGUGAUGGCGGGGAUGGUGAUGGGAGCCUGGGAUGCUGUUUUGCCAUCCCCGGACUGCAGCCAUGGUGACGUUCAAGUGAAUGCAUUGCCUAGGUUGCGGGGGCCCCCCGUCAUGCCCUUAAACACGCCCUCCUAACCAUUCCGCCCCGCCGUGUUUUCCCCCUUUCCCCCCUCGUUUUGCCAUCCCCGGACUGCAGCCAUGGUGACGUUCAAGUGAAUGCGUCGCCUAGGUUGCGGGGGCCCCCCGUCAUGCCCUUAAACACGCCCUCCUAACCAUUCCGCCCCGCCGCGCUUUCCCCCUUUCCCCCCUCGUUUUGCCAUCCCCCGACUGCGGCCAUGGUGACGUUCAAAUGAAUGCAUCGCCUAGGUUGCAGGGGGCCCCCAUCAUGCCGUUAAACAUGCCCUCCUAACCAUUCCGCCCCACCGUGUUUUCCCCCUUUCCCCCCUAGUUUUGCCAUCCCCCGACUGCGGCCAUGAUGACGUUCAAACGAUGUCAGAAGUAGGCUGGGCAGGGAGGGUGUGCGCAUGGGAUGUGCCUGGCAUGCACCUUGAUGGGCCAGCAGCCUUGUACAGGCUGUGCACCCCAUCUGGUAGUGCUGGGUUGAUCAGGUGUGCGUGGUGCAGGUGGCGAGCCAGCGCCUCCAUACAGGCGUAUGUUCCUCUGCCCCUGCAUUCUGGCAUCCUGUUGUUGUUGGAGAGGUUGCGCUGUGUGGCUGUAAUGUGUCAGAAGUAGGCUGGGCAGGGAGGGUGUGCGCAUGGGAUGUGCCUGGCAUGCACCUUGAUGGGCCAGCAGCCUUGUACAGGCUGUGCACCCCAUCUGGUAGCGCUGGGUUGACCAGGUGUGCGUGGUGCAGGUGGCGAGCCAGCACCUCCAUACAGGCGUAUGUUCCUCUGCCCCUGCAUUCUGGCAUCCUGUUGUUGUUGGAGAGGUUGCGCUGUGUGGCUGUAAUGUGUCAGAAGUACAGCCGUGGCGGCGGGGGGAAAUAGCAAUGCAGCAGCAGCGGCAGUGAUGGCGGUGGGGUUGGGAGGUGCAGUAGCCUAAACGGCAGGCGUGGCGGUGGCGGGAAACAGCAACACAGCAGCAGCGGCAGCGACGGCAGUGGGGUUGGGAGGUGCAGUAGCCUAAACGGCAGGCACUGCAGCGGNNNNNNNNNNNNNNNNNNNNNNNNNNNNNNNNNNNNNNNNNNNNNNNNNNUGCAAAGUGCUGGAGGUAACCGACAGGCUUCAACGUGACAUUGGCCCGUCUAAUUAGAAGUGCGGAAUGCUGCACCGCCGACAUUCUGAGCAAGCUCGCGGUCAAAGGAAAGUCGAUGACUUUGGCUGUCGUCUGUUUGGUCAAAGAGUAUAAGUAUAUUAAGUAAGAAUUACAUGUAUUUGGCACAGUUAAGUGCCAGACACUGUAAUGCCUUUCCGAUUUGCAGCUCCAUGACAGGUACAACUUGCACUGAUGGAUCCAGGAUUCACACAUGCAAGCGCAAGGGCAUCUUUUACUGUCAUUAUUCGAUCUUAAAAUCUAUGCAAUUCCAUGAGUAUAAUGGAUUUGUGUUCAUACGUGUGGUGUCCGUUGCCUCUCGGACAUUUGAUGUCGGGCUUUGCAGAACCAUUGAUCCCUCCCACAGGCGCCUGUUCCUUCACAUAUGGUACUGAAUAAUGGCUCAAUCUUAUAUCAGUCCGUAUUGGAGCUGCUUUCCGAUCGACACAGCAUUUCAGUGUCAAAUC